AGCGUACGCUGGCGGCAGGCCUAACACAUGCAAGUCGAACGAACUCUUCGGAGUUAGUGGCGGACGGGUGAGUAACACGUGGGAACGUGCCUUUAGGUUCGGAAUAACUCAGGGAAACUUGUGCUAAUACCGAAUGUGCCCUUCGGGGGAAAGAUUUAUCGCCUUUAGAGCGGCCCGCGUCUGAUUAGCUCGUUGGUGAGGUAAUGGCUCACCAAGGCUACGAUCAGUAGCUGGUCUGAGAGGAUGACCAGCCACAUUGGGACUGAGACACGGCCCAAACUCCUACGGGAGGCAGCAGUGGGGAAUAUUGUGCAAUGGGCGAAAGCCUGACGCAGCCAUGCCGCGUGGAUGAUGAAGGUCUUAGGAUUGUAAAAUCCUUUCACCGGUGAAGAUAAUGACUGUAGCCGGAGAAGAAGCCCCGGCUAACUUCGUGCCAGCCGCCGCAGUAAGAC
rnacentral:rRNA from 1 species